CGCAAGCCUGACCGCCUGCCGCGUGCAGGAUGACGGUCCUAUGGAUUGUAAACUGCUUUUAUACGAGAAGAGACACUACUUCGUGAAGUAGCUUGACGGUAUCGUAAGAAUAAGGAUCGGCUAACUCCGUGCCAGCAGCCGCGGUAAUACGGAGGAUCCAAGCGUUAUCCGGAAUCAUUGGGUUUAAAGGGUCCGUAGGCGGUUUGGUAAGUCAGUGGUGAAAGCCCAUCGCUCAACGGUGGAACGGCCAUUGAUACUGCCAGACUUGAAUUAUUAGGAAGUAACUAGAAUAUGUAGUGUAGCGGUGAAAUGCUUAGAGAUUACAUGGAAUACCAAUUGCGAAGGCAGGUUACUACUAAUGGAUUGACGCUGAUGGACGAAAGCGUGGGUAGCGAACAGGAUUAGAUACCCUGGUAGUCCACGCCGUAAACGAUGGAUACUAGCUGUUGGAAGCAAUUUCAGUGGCUAAGCGAAAGUGAUAAGUAUCCCACCUGGGGAGUACGUUCGCAAGAAUGAAACUCAGAAA
rnacentral:rRNA from 1 species